rnacentral:rRNA from 1 species
UACGGGGGGAGCAAGCGUUGUUCGGAUUUACUGGGCGUAAAGGGCUCGUAGGCGGCCAACUAAGUCAGACGUGAAAUCCCUCGGCUUAACCGGGGAACUGCAUCUGAUACUGGAUGGCUUGAGUUCGGGAGAGGGAUGCGGAAUUCCAGGUGUAGCGGUGAAAUGCGUAGAGAUCAGGAAGAACACCGGUGGCGAAGGCGCUCUGCUAGGCCGCAACUGACACUGAGGGACGAAAGCUAGGGGAGCGAAUGGG